UUCAAUAAAGAGUUAGGAAAA
rnacentral:piRNA from 1 species